ACCUACGGGUGGCAGCAGUUUCGAAUCAUUCACAAUGGGCGAAAGCCUGAUGGUGCGACGCCGCGUGAGGGAUGAAGGUCUUCGGAUUGUAAACCUCUGUCACUGGGGGAGAAAACGCUUUUGAGUUAAUAGUUCAAAGCCUGAUUUUAACCCGGAGAGGAAGCAGUGGCUAACUCUGUGCCAGCAGCCGCGGUAAUACAGAGACUGCAAGCGUUAUUCGGAUUCACUGGGCGUAAAAGGGUGCGCAGGCGGUUGGGUGUGUCAGAUGUGAAAUCCCGAGGCUUAACCUCGGAACUGCGUCUGAAACUACUCGACUAGAGUACUGGAGAGGGAAACGGAAUUCACGGUGUAGCAGUGAAAUGCGUAGAUAUCGUGAGGAACACCAGAGGCGAAGGCGGUUUCCUGGA
rnacentral:rRNA from 1 species